GACGUAGGGCGCGAGCGUUGUCCGGAUUUAUUGGGCGUAAAGAGCUCGUAGGCGGCUUGUCGCGUCGUCCGUGAAAACCCACAGCUCAACUGUGGGCUUGCGGUCGAUACGGGCAGGCUAGAGUUCGGUAGGGGAGACUGGAAUUCCUGGUGUAGCGGUGGAAUGCGCAGAUAUCAGGAGGAACACCGGUGGCGAAGGCGGGUCUCUGGGCAGUAACUGACGCUGAGGAGCGAAAACGUGGGGAGCGAACAGG
rnacentral:rRNA from 1 species